AUAAACUAACUUUUAACCAGAGGUACUAAAUUGUAAAAUCUUCAAAAGUAAAACUAUUUUCAUUAUUCAGAAAGCACUCAUUAUUUAUCCCAACAUUCUAAGUAACUCACAUAGACUAAAUUUCUCAGUAUAAACAAGUAAAUAUAUCACACGUUAAUCAAAUACAGUUAAAGUACAACAGUAAUAUCGUUGCACAAAACAAUAGUUUAAUGAACUAAGUAAGGUCAAGGUGAUUAAAAAAGAAAAUGGGGAAGGGAACGAAACAAGAUGGGAGAAAUGCAAAUUUGAGGCUAGUUUGGGCAAUGUAGGAUCUUGUCUUAAAAGAAUAAGAAAAUAAAAUCUAAAAAGACUACAAGGUCUAUCAGUAUAUACAAUUUUAAAAAUUUCUAAGUUUCUUCAGACAUCUGGUAUAAUCUACUUAUUGUGAUUAAAAGUGUGACUUAAAUUCACAAAAGCAAAAAAACAUCUAUAGUAUAAAGUCAAGUUAUAAAAAUUAUUAGAUAUUUUAAAUUUUUAUUACAGUUUCAUUCUCUUAGUGAAUGUAGUGUAGUGUGUAUAUGUGUGAGUUACACAUAUAUAAGCCUUUAUAGAGAGAGGACAACUUGUGGAUACUAGGUUCUCUCCUUCUGGCAUAUGGGUCCCAUAGAUUGAACUCUGACCUAGUAUUUUGCUUUUCAAGACAAAGUCUCAUCCCAAUACAGGCAAGGCUCACCUCAAACUCCCUAAUCCCAUCUCAAGCUUAGAGGAAUGUGCCAUAACACUUAGCUAAAAAGUUUUAAAACAUUUAGUACUCAUUCACAAAAUAUAUUAUAUCCUAUUGCCUAUUAUGUAGAAAAUACUAUUUUGUGGAGAACUAAAAUAAAAAAAUGAGUGUUUUCUUUUUUUCCAAUCAGAAAAAUAUGUAAACAACAUAAUUUUAUAAGAAUGGAAAUGCAACUUCUGUAGCUAUCUAGUGGGAUAUAUGAAUAAUUCCUGUUUAGUUAACAAAAAGUAUACUAUUUCAUUAAUUAAAAGGGAACUUAAAAUAUUCUAGAGGAAUAGUUACCAAAGUAUGGAAAUACGUAAGUCUGUGGAUUCAGAGAAAGCAAUUAUGUAGAUAAUUUGGAGUAAUGUACAUGUAUAGUUUAUAUAACUAAAAAUGUACAAGGGACAACAACUACAGGUACAUUUUCAGGAAGGAGAUGUUUUAUUAAGAUUAUAGGGCAGAGUCAAAGAAUAGACUGAAGAAAAGAGAAAUCAGUUAAAAGAGUUUUCAUAGGACAAAAUGUGAUGAGAAAGUGAAAUAGUACAAGCAAAGAGUGAACAAAUGUACUAAAUUGCAGAAAUUAAAGAAAUGAACCACUGUAGAAGUAUGAAUCCUAGAAUUUGAGAACAAAAUAAAAGAUAAACAGGAUAUAGAGAGCAGGGCUUUAAUCCCAGCCCUCAAGAGGCAGAAGCAGAGGCAGAGGCAGGCAGAUCUAUAAGUUCAAGGACAGCCUGAUCUACAGAGUAAGUUCCAGGACUGCCAGGACUACACAGAGAAACCUUCUCAAAAAAUAAAUAACGAAAACCCAGAUAUGGAGGAGUUAAAAUUUUACUGAAGUUUCUACCAAAAUAGUAACAUUUAGUGAUAAUAUUAGAAGAAAUCUUUAAGUUCAUCCUCAAGUCCUACCAAUUAAAUUGUUCUUAAGGGACACUAGAGCAAGUUGAUAAGGUCUCUUGGAAAUACUUUAAAAAUUAACUUUUAUGUUCGUAUUUAUCUUUAAAACUACUUACUAUUAGGGAAUGGUUUUCUAGUAUGUGUAUAGGUCAAGAGAUAAUUCUUAAUUUAGAAAGUUUUAAUCCUCAACUGUGUUAAAUUUUGGGAUAACUCCUCUCAUAUAUAAGUUGGUAUAUAUAGUCAUUGUGGUUAUUGGAAUAAUUUUAAAAGCUAAUAUGCUAGACAAGACCUAUAAUACAUUUGAAAAUAAGGGAAUAAUUCCAGUAGAUUCUUCCUAUUGAAAAUACACUAGGAGUAUGUGGAUAAAAGGACUGCGGAAAUAACCUUAAUAUAUACAUAUACAUAUAUACAUACAUUUACAUAUCAUACACACACACAUAUAUUUAUAUAGAGAGAGUGUCUUACUAUUUUCAGUGAAACAGCACAAUGGCUAAAAAGUGUUAUUUAAUAAAGUAUGGACUUAAUGUAUAAGAACUUUUUAAGGUAAAACUCCUACUUUGACAUUUCCUGUCUUGAAUAAUCUUCACAGGACCACAGGACAUUGGAAUUUUACAGACAUAUUUAUCACUUUGGUCACAAACAAUACAAAAUAAAAGAAAUUUUAAAAAUUAAAACAUAUUUCCCAUAAAUUUGCAAAAAAUACUUAAAUUAUGUGUUAUAAGAAUAUAUGUUAGGGGCAAGAGAUGGCUCAGUGGUUAAGAAUACUUGUUCUUAUAAAGGAUUUAGGUUUGAUUUCCAGCACCUACAUGGCAGGUCCUAACCAUCUGUAAUGUUAAAGGAUCUACUACCCUUUGCUGACUUCUGUGGGCAGUAGGCAUGUACAUGGUAUACAGACAUACAUAUAAAAAACACUCAUAUACAAUAUUAAAAAAGAAUAUGUUAGCUGGAUGUUGACACCAGCACUUGGAAAGAAAAGGUAAAAGAAUCUCUGUGAGUUUGAAGCCAGCCUACUCUACACAGCAAGUUCCAGGCCAGCCAGGCAAUAUAAUGAGCCUUGUUUCAAACAAAAACAAAGGAGAUACACAAUAAAACAAAAACAUGUUACUAUGUAUAACUCACCUUUAUGAACUGCUCAUGUAGCUGUUUGAUUGCUUUCAUUCUCUGGCUCUGAACAAUUCUAGUCUGCUGAAAAAUCUUUUGCUGUUGUCGAAAAAGAUUCUAUAAACAUUAAAAAAAUGUAAUAAUGACUUGGU
rnacentral:lncRNA from 1 species